UUCUGCCCAUAGACUGUAAAUAUUACUGGACGAACCCUGACCUAUCUGUUACAUAGGCAGCAAAUGAGUCCAAUCGACGGCCGCAUCCAUAUUGGAUUUGCAGUCUCAACCUAACUUCGGAUCAACCUAGCAACAGCAGUAAGGCGGGACCGGCGGGACUUAGCUCCGCCCAUUCAGCUUGACGUUAGCAGUCCACUUCACAGCAUAGCUAACGGCUAGGCUGCUAUCAUCCCCUAUUCCUGCUCGUCCUGAGAAAACUCUAUAAACAACACAGUGUGGAUUAUUGGUGACUUGUCCGUCGAGGUGCCCAGAGAGCUGCAGAGACAGAGGAAGAAACCUGAGCCUCAACAACAUCUGCAUUUGUUGGUUCUUCUAGGGUGGACUUCGGUUGCUUCUCUUCAACAGCUCGCUGCGAGGGAGGUCUCCCCUGGAUGGCCUGAGUGAUGUCACCCACAGGCUGAGAGCUGAGGCAGGUUUUAAACCUCUUGACAAACCGUUACACCGCACCUGCCUGUCAAGCUGGUCAGCUACACGCCUUAUUGUGAAUAACUCUUAUCCUUCAUCAAAUCAAAGGACCCCCGUACAGUGUGUGUCGAUCGAGACAUGAGCUAAUCAGACCUAUUUGUUUGUUUUGUACCAAGCUGUAAACAUGUUUUAUCUCUGCUGUAAAAACAGACUCUUUUGAAUGUGGUUUUUCAGAUUAAAUAAAUAUGUCUAUAUAAAUGCACUCCUUUAUGUCUACUUAUGAGUAUACAUUUCAGAUUUGAAAUGACAAGACUAAAAUGUGCAUUAAUGCUCAGCUCAACAGCUAAGGGAAGGAAGUCUACUUUUACACAACUUUUUAUUCUUUUGACAUUUUAUUUUACCAAAUACUAAUGUAGUUCAUUUCUGAAAGUGGGAUGGAACAGAGUCAUUGCAAAAAUUUGCCCUUAAACACAGCCCCAUUCUUCUAUCAAGAUACACCGAGAGUAAAUAAGAUCAAUAACUUGUGAAUAAAAACAGUUAAAAAUGAUUUAGAAAUGUAGUCUUCCCAGAUCAAUAUCACAUAAUAUCAACUUCUCCCAUCUAAACUGGACAAAGGGUUUUAAAUGGGAAGAAAAUGGUUUUGAUUGCAAGUUGUUUGGAGGAGAUCUAUUUUUAUUUGAACAGCAUGAAUACAGUCUUCCAAGGUGCAAACCCUCCUCCUCCUCCUGAAGCUUGUGGAGCUCGUUGAUGUACUGCCGUCUUAUCUGCUGGCCAUCUUCUCUCACCAGAACUUCGACUGUUGAAAUGUCAUUCUGAAGAAGCUUGAGCAUGUGACAUGGAUCCAGGAGAACAUGGACUUUUAGUGCGGGGUC